UACAGAGGUCUCAACCGUUGUUCGGAUUCAUUGGGCGUAAAGGGUGCGUAGGCGGCGCGGUAAGUCGGGUGUGAAAUCUCGGAGCUUAACUCCGAAACUGCAUUCGAUACUGCCGUGCUUGAGGACUGGAGAGGAGACUGGAAUUUACGGUGUAGCGGGUGAAAUGCGUAGAUAUCGUAAGGAAGACCAGUGGCGAAGGCGGGUCUCUGGACAGUUCCUGACGCUGAGGCACGAAGGCCAGGGAGCAAACGGG
rnacentral:rRNA from 1 species